UGUUUUCGCGCCCAUCAAAGCGUCAGCAAUUACCGUGAAUAAUUGUACCUAUUAUUUUUAGCUGUGUAUGCGUGCGGUUAAAACUUUUCUUAUUGAGAUCUGUAAUUUAAAGUAUCUUUUCAAGACGAUAUUCAAGGAAUUAAUUUGGCUCCCGGUUGAUUAGUCAAUCGACAAUAUAGUGUACUGUGUCUUAACAUACAGAAGUGCUUUAUUACGUUUGAGAAUACGAUCUUUCAAUUUUCAUGUUUUGUGUUGGAUUCGAUCGAAAUUUAUCAGGUAAGCAACAAUUUAGCUGACUGUAUUAAUAUCUAAUUGAACGUUUGGGGCGAAAAAAUAAUUUAUUGAAACUUUUUUUAGAAUGUCUGACGAAAAUAGUCAGAACCAGGGAGAGUCUUAUCCGAUUGGCAUGUUUCUGAAUGAAUUUGACGAGAAAGGAGAGGUAUUAGUAGAAGUUGUGCCAUCAUCGUAAACCAUCUUGGCCACGGAUGAGCAAUUGACAUGCAAAUGGCUAGAAAAGGAGGCAAAUGAAUCCUACACAUGGGGGACGUAGGCUAGAAUACGCCUAGAAUAAAUGUCCUGGAUUGGAAUCCACUGACUCAGAGUCUUCACACCAGCAGUCUUUCCUUAGGUCGAAUGACAUGGCAACAACAAUGCUUUGCAAUAACCGAUCCCUUCUCUUACCUUCUGUAGGUGAAGAGACCCUGGCAGAAACUAUCCAGGAGGCAAGUGCAGACGUUGACAACUCAGUGCCACGUAACGAGGGGUCAAAUUUGCCAACAUCUGCUGGUAUUAGUCGAAAUCUAAGAAAUGGUUGAUUGCCUACUUCAAGACCUCAAAAAAAUGACGCCCAAUUUGCCUAUGAGACAGUUGAGACUUUACGCGCCCAAGCAAAUGCAGAAUUAAACGGAAUGAAUAAUCUUGAAUAAUUUCUAUGGUCAAUUUAGUGAUAAUUUUCCACUAAAUAUUUGAUUAUUUGUAGAAUUCCUAACAGAAUUCCAUACAUUGACGCAGGAGCCAAAGUUAUUUUGCAAAACUUGUGAAAUUGUAAGAUUGUAAAACGAAGUUUGCAAUGCGAUAGUGAAAAGAUAUUUUACAAUUUAACGGUAUCUAUGAAUAGAAAAACAACUGUUGAUGGAGCAAAGGAAAGAUUUUAUACAGGCAAUCUCAGAAAAUUUUGAGAAACACAGAUAACAGCAGAAAGCACUGAAGAAACAGCAGACUCUAGAAUUUCUUCGAAAACAUGAUACAAGACUCAGGAAGUUACGAGGCUGAUAUAAAAAAUAUUCUAGGCAGACUACUAGCAAAGGCUGCGCAAGUCAACUAUAGUACAAUGGGGAAGCAGGUUCCAGAUGUCGCAAAAUUAAAAUUUGUAGAUACCAGAAUAUAUUCCCGCAUGGAAGAUAUUUUUCUCGUUAUUUAUCUUCUUGCCAGUACUUAUAUUGUUAUGGUUUUUUCAUUAAUUUUCUGUGGCUUGAUUAUAUUUUCCAAAAAUACUGAACGUAAACUAUGAAAUGCGUAAUUACUCCUUCAAAAUUCGCAGCGUUAUCAAUUACUGAUUAUCUGCAACUACGGACAGAGAAGGUGGCUAUGCAAAAAGGAAAAAAAACAGCCACAGUAGUUUUUUUUGUUAGUUUGAAUGGCA